GACGAAGGUGGCAAGCGUUGUUCGGAAUCACUGGGCUUAAAGAGCACGUAGGCGGCUCAUCAAGCGUCUUGUGAAAGCCCCCCGGCUUAACCGGGGAACUGCAGGGCGAACUGAUGGGCUUGAGGCAGGUAGGGGCGAGUGGAACUCUUGGUGGAGCGGUGGAAUGCGUAGAUAUCAAGAGGAACGCCGGCGGCGAAGGCGACUCGCUGGGCCUGUCCUGACGCUGAGGUGCGAAAGCCAGGGGAGCGAACGGGAUUAGAUACCCUCGUA
rnacentral:rRNA from 1 species